rnacentral:misc_RNA from 1 species
AAAUGAGUAACUGUUUUUGAAUUAUACAUAUGACCAGUAACAUUGACUGGUUGAUCAAUGAAUUUGCUUGAAUCAAAGAAAACCAAUAUCAUAAGUUGGAAAAUAAACAAAAGCAUGAAAAUUCCACACAUAAUGGGGAAAGCACAGCAAAGCCAGAAGAAUACACCAGACAAGGCCAUAAGCAAAUAAACUAGAGCUUCUCCUAAAGGAAAAAUUCACUAUAAGCAACCAAUACCAUUUAAUAUGUGCACGAAUAAAAAAGAAUUAAAACCCAUAAGUAUCUGAAAGUCAGCUCAUAAUUUGCUACCCAUUUUUCCAGAUGCCAGCAAAAGCACAACUAAUUACAUUAAAAAAAAAAAAACUAAUAACAUAAUUGAACUACACAGACCAAAUUUCUACUAUACUGUUUG